AUUGAAAUAGUUUAUAAAAAAUAUUAAAUUGUGAAUUUAAAGAAAUUUUUCAAUA
rnacentral:tRNA from 1 species